rnacentral:misc_RNA from 1 species
ACUCUUCAACCCCCAAUUUUUUCUAACGAGAUUAUUGGCGCGGCUUGGUUUUUGAAUGUUUGCUGGAAUCAGUAGAUUCGAAGCUCAUUCGUAAUUCAUUAGCAAUUCCAAUUUCAAAGUCAGAUUGACUCGGCGUAAUAGAAUAUUCGCUGAGGACAUAAUUUUAUUAUUAUGGCUGAGUUUGUAAUGGAAAGCUUCUAAUCAAAGUUUUUCUUUUCAUUAAGAAAAAUUUAUUAAUCUAAG